UAUAUAUAUAUAUAUAAGGGUGUUAUGUCAUUUCCCUCAUUCCUCUCUACUUGAGCCAACAUAAGAGAAAUCUCUCUCUCUCUCUCUCUCUCUAGGAUUGGCUCCAAAGUGUGGAGUUUGGUAGAGAAAAGCUUACUUAGAGGUGAAGCUUUCUUUUUCUUCACCAUUGGUUUGAAGAGAGCUUGGGUUUGAGAGGUAAGCUUUGAUAGCAACAAUGGUAGAUUGCUAAGUAGUGAUUUGUAUGCCUUAGAAAUGGGUUUAGUGAAACUCCUAGAUGCUAAAUAGAUGGUUGAUGCUCGAAUUUAGAGAUCAAAUAAUGAAUUCUUGCAUAGUUGCAUCUUAGGGCAUCAAAAGAGAGGUUUUGCUUGGGAGGGGUUUUGAUCUAAAUUGAUCAUGUAUAAACCUAAUUGCUAGGUUUUCUGACGCGUUGGCGAAGUC
rnacentral:lncRNA from 1 species